rnacentral:lncRNA from 1 species
GUUCGCGUCACUUCUUCCCGCGCUGUGGACUCUUAUGGACUGACAUUUGGCGUCGUCCAUGAGAACAGCAAGGGAAAUCCGUCGGCGGUUCUGGAUGGACAUUAGGUGCAGCCGACCUGUGACCCAAUGUCGCAAGAGAACUACCCCAGACCGACAGGACUGUCUUACUGUAAGUGGACAGAACCCUGGUCAGAUAUAUCUAGGAAGGUGGUCUGAGCUCUAGUUGGGUGAUUUGGCGUCUGGGGUAUCUGAAACUGGAUAGAUUUAUGACAUUUCAGCUGCAUAAUUCACUCCUUUAACAAAGUUUUUAACCCUGGCGAACACCUUUAUUGAGGUACAAGGACCUUUAUGGUAACAUGUGGGGAUCCGAUAUCAUGUACCCCUCCGUGAUAGUCCUGAGGGGAACAUCUAAUCAUACUGAGUCAAGUGCUUCAUAUUGGUCGUUUCCGAGCUGGGGUUAAAUUCUAUUGUGACUGGAUGGAUGAGUGCAGCUGAACUAGAAUAAAUCUAUUUUUGCAACAGUACCUCUUGCGUCGGAAAGUCUGACUAGGGUAAAGGUCAUCUGGUCCAGAAUAUCUGACUGACGGACUAUCACGGCCUGCCAGUCGCCGGAGGAGGAGGAGGCGCCGACCAUGGCGCAGAGAUCGUCGCCCUUCCCGAUCUCCCCCGGAGGAGGCGCCGUCCAAGGCGCAGAGAUCGUCGCCCUUCCCGAUCUCUCCCGGAGGAGGCGCCGUCCAAGGCGCAGAGAUCGUCGCCCUUCCCGAUCUCUCCCGGAGGUGGCGCCGUCCAAGGCGCAGAGAUCGACGCCUUCACCCCGAUCUCUUUUCAUAUGCCCCCGGUCCAUAGGAGGACACGGGGGACGUGCCUGGAGGUGGCACUGAGACACUGCCAUGUUUCGUUCGGUUUGACUUUCUUCACACUGAGCCACAGUGUGGAGGCAGUCAAAAGGGCCAUGCUAAGGGGCCAAGGGUGUGACAUAGUGGCAGGUCUAUGUCGCCGUAGAGCGGGGAAAUUCCGUUAGGCAAGUACGAUGUUGGGUUCCACGACUUUAAUGGACUCAUCUGAAGUAUGAGUGCCUUUUCCUGAAGGAGAUUGUCUAACGUCUCGGACAGUCACCUGGUCAGGGUUUUCAGAUGCGUGGAGUCUAACUCUAGAUGGAUGACUUAGCAAUGGAAAUAUUUGGAACUCAGUUGGUUUAGUCAUUUCUCAACUUUGAACUGUCCCUUCUUUGACAAUGCAUUUAAUUCCAAAUACAGACAUGAAUCUGACACGAGUAUGGCUUUACAGCAUCAUGAUUGGAACGUCAGGCCUGUGCGGUCGGGCUUGAUGGACCAAUGGACCGCCAUGUGUGUUGUACUGCUCUGUAAAUCUUGUGCUGGAGGAUUGUUUGUGUCUGGACUUCUAUACAUUGUGAAAGAAUUGACAAAACUAGUUGGGACAUGACUAAAUCUUCUUGAGGCUUCAUCUAUCUUCUUUGCUGGGAAGUCUGUCUCUUGUCAAGAUGACACAAGUUUGAAAAAUCCUGACCUCAGGACGGAAAGUUUGCCCCAUAAAAAAAAAA